UAAGAAAAAGUGUGAAGCAUAUUAAAAUUUGAAUUUAAUGGAUAUUUCUUAA
rnacentral:tRNA from 1 species